UGGAAGUCGGAGUUCGUGGUGGUAGUUUGUGAGUGGUGGUCGUGAAGAACAACGAGGUGGUCGGAUUGGAAAGCGAAGGGCGAAAGUGGGUGUUUGAUGGCGGAAAGGGUUAUGUUGAGGAAGAAGAAUAUAUGGUUUGGAUUUGUGGUGUUUAGUUGCGGAUCUGUGGCAGUCGGAGGUGAAGUAUUGAAUCGCCGGUGAGGUUGUGAUGGUAGUGGUGCGAUGUCGGUGGUAGAGAUACGUAGGAUGAGAGUGGUUGUUCGCGACGGCGAACGGCGGAGGAGAUGGGGGUGGUUUGGGUUUUCGGUGAGUUUCGAAGGGUGAGAGGUGAUAGAGGAUUUGAAGGGUUUGGCGGAGGAAGGUGGUGAAAAGGAUGUGGGUCGUGUGGUGGGGCGGCUCGACGAAGAAGAAGCUUCUUCUCGAUUUCUUUUCUUUUUUUGUUUUUCUUUUCUUUUCCAGAGUGUGUAGUAGAGAGAGAGUAUGAGAGAGUUAGGUGUGAGGUGAGGGUAGGUAGUGUAUAGAGGGAGACGCGUGUUGUGGAAGGAGAAGAGGAAAAAGUUUUGUUAAUUAAUUUUUUUACUUUUCUCCCUUGAACGUGAGAGAGAGUGGCGUGAAGUUGAGAGAUUGGAGAGAGAAACGUGUCAGAGUGUGAGAGAGGAGAGAGGGAAGCGUGAGGGAAAGAGAAAAUGAGGUGAGGUGGCGAGAGAGAAAGAAGAGUGGGAAUGAAGUGGGAAUCUGUGAGAGAGAUGUGAGUGAAAUUGAGAGAGGUGAGAAAAUUUCAAUUUAUUUUUUUUUUUCUUUUUUGCGGUUAACGUGAGGAACCUGUGUGUGAGGAGAGAGAGAUAUGCAAGCUGGAUUUUCAGUACCGUUGGAGAUGCACCAGCUGUCAAAAAAUAGGAAUCUGAUGUUAAUCUUAUUUAUUUUAUGUGAAAACAAAUACUAUUAUUCUUAUUUAAAAUUUCUAAUAAAUAUACUUAAAUAAAUUCUAAUUACUUUAGUUGAAUAAUUAACCUAGCAAAAAUAGUGAUCGAUUAUAAAUAGAAGCCGGAUAUAAAUUUGCUCAAACAAUUAAGUUGGGCACACUAAAAUGAUCAGCAUAAAAUAUACUUAUUGAAAAAAUACAGUGUUUCAUUAAAUUUCGAAAUAAAUUUUCACCGGUUAAAAAGCUCAGGCGGGUCAAAACACAGCCAAAACAAUCGCUGAAAAAUCUGACGAGCACACCAGGUUAAACUACGUGACCCGUAGAUUAAUAGUACUGGCGUCUGCAAUUUUAAUUUUGAAACUUUUUACCCGCUGAUUGUGCAUGUUCUUGAGAACCGAUUUAACCACUUUGUUUGUAUUUUCAAUAAAUUUAUCCUGACUGAUAUUUCAGGUAUUAUUCAUGAUGAAAUGCAUGUUAUGUUGUGCAUAUGAUGUAAGUUGAAAAUUAAAUCAAAUUUACGAAGAUUUAAGAAUGCCCAGACAAAAUCGGGGUAUGACAGCUGCCCCUAUUUAAUUAACUUGAACUGGAAGGUAGGAAUGACAACGGUCUUCCUUCAUUCGUGGUGGAAGGUAAUUAAAUACGAAAAGACCCAAAUUUUGUCCUUUGAAAUGCAAUGGAGAAAUGCAGAAAGAAAAUGCAAUGGAUUCUAACAGCACCAAGGUAAUAGGGGUAGAAUGUCAAAUCAAUGCCAACCCUCGAAUUUUGCAAAGGUCAUUUUUGGUGUAAAGAUAAACGUGGGACUAAAACUGAACAGGCUUCCUGGCGACAAAAGGAUGACAGUAGAAAUUGCUACCACCAAAAGGAUGAUAGUAAUUCAACACGAUUUCCAGGAUCGCGUCAUCACCAAAAGGAUGAUGGAUAAACCAAGCUUCCAAAGUAGUCAUCACCAAAAGGAUGAUGGUUACAGUGGCUACAACAAAGAUCGCUAUCACCAAAAGGAUGAAAGUCAGACAUGACCAAAGAUUUUCAUCAUCAAAAGGAUAAUGUCCGUCACCAAAAGGAUGAUGGUUAUUCAGUUUCCCAUUACCGAGAGUAUAAUAUCUAGGCUACCACCAAAAGAAUGAUAGUUAACUCAUCAACUUCAAAGAUCACCGUCACCAAAAGGAUGAAGGUAAGAUCCAACAACAAACUUGUUAUCACCAAAAGGAUAACAAUAAGUCAACGAUCAACAAUGAUCACCGUCACCAAAAGGAUGAAGGUAAAGUCACACAACAAACUUGUUAUCACCAAAAGGAUGAUAAUAAGUCGAAACUCAAUGAUCACCAUCACCAAAAGGAUGAAGGUAAGAACAACAACAAGACUUGUUAUCACCAAAAGGAUGAUAAUAAGUCAACAACUCAAAUGAUCACCCUCACCAAAAGGAUGAAGGUAGGAUCAAAAAUAAAACUUAUUACCACCAAAAGGAUGAUAAUAAGUCAACAACUCAAAUGAUCCCUAUCACCAAAAGGAUGAAAGUAAGAUCAACAACAGAACUUGUUACCACCAAAAGGAUGAUAAUAAGUCAACAAUCACCAUCACCAAUAGGAUGAAGGUAUAAUUAAAAGGCAAAACUUAUUAUCACCAAAAGGACGAUAAUAAGUCAAAGUAAACUCAAACGAUCACCAUCAAAAGGGUGAAGGUAAGAUCAACAACAGAACUUUAUUAUCACCAAAAGGAUGAUAAUAAGUCAAUAACCUCUUAAAUAAUCACCAUCGUCAAAAGGAUGAAGGUAAGAUGAAUGACAAAACUUGUUAUCACCAAAAGGAUGAUAAUAAGUCACGACACCUUAAAUGAUAAACAUCACCAAAAGGAUGAAGGUAAGAACAAAACUUUAAAACUUGUUAUCACCAAAAGGAUGACAAUAAGCACACAACUCAAACGAUCACCAUCAACAAAAGGAUGAAGGUCAGAUAAAAGACGAAAAUUGUUACUACCAAAAGGAUGAUAAUAAGUCAAUAACUUCAAUGGUCACCAUCACCAAAAGGAUGAAGGUAGGAUUAAUCAACAAAACUCGUUACCACCAAAAGGAUGAUAAUAAGUCGAUAACUUUUACUGAUCACCGUCACCAAAAGGAUGAGUGUAGGAUCGAACAACAAAAACUUGUUAUCACCAAAAGGAUGAUAAUAAGUCGAUAACUUUUAUGGAUCACCGUCACCAAAAGGAUGAAGGUAGGAUCGAACAACAAAACUUGUUAUCACCAAAAGGAUGAUAAUAAGUCGACAGUCACCAUCACCAAAAGGAUGAUAGCUUAAACCAGACUCCAUAACCUCUAUCACCAAAAGGAUGAUAUUUAGAAUGAACUGGACUUCAUCACCAAAAGGAUGAUGUUUAGACAUAACAACAGAGAUUACCCUCAACGAGAGGAUGAUGGUUGAACCAAAAUAACAAGGAUCCUUAUCACCAUAAGGAUCGCCGACACCAAAAGGAUGACGGUAAGACAAAACUUGUUACCACCAAAAGGAUGACAAUAAGCUUUAAUAACGAUAGGUCUCCAUUCACCAAAAGGAUGAAGGUUGGACCCAAAAACUUCAAGGAUCUUCGACACCAAAAGGAUGACAGUAAGAUCAUAAAUGCCAAAGAUUUACCAUUACCAAAAGGAUAACGGUCAUCGUGAACGGGGUGGCGAUUAAUAUUAUUCCUCAAUGGAAUUUCAUCAAAAGGAUGAUAGUGAGAAAAAUAUUUGGAAAAAUAAGGCUACUGUCAAAGUUCAGUAAACUCGGCUUGUUGGGUAGUAUUGGAACAUUACUGGGUAAGACUUGCUUGGGGUAUCAACAACAAAAGGUUGCAGAAUGAAUAUUCUCUGGGGAGAUGUAGUUUCCAUCAACAAAAGGUUUAAAGGAACAACUCAUUGAGGGACGCUCAACGUGAAGCAAGGUAAGUGUUUAAAGAAACAAUGUUUGACUUAGCUGAGGAUAACGUCUUAUCAACAAAAUGUUGAAGGAUGCAACUCAAUGGGGAACACCCGAUAAUAAGGUAGGAACUCACUCAGAGAAAAACAAUGACUCAACUGAGGGUUGGCCUGGAUGCCUACGACUAAACCUUGGAUUUUGAUUCGUGUUAUAUGCGUAAAUGUCAUGUAUGCGUUAUGUAUGAGGUGAUACAUGCAGUGCAUGUGAUGCAUGUUUGAAUGCAAAGAAUGAUUGGUUUGUUUGGGAUUGGCCUCCUUUUUCAAAGGCGAUGUAUUUUCUGGAUUUAGUGCUGACUGUAUUUAUUUUUGUAUGGAUGUCGGCAAGGUAGAUUUUGUUUUUUCUGGUAACUGUCAAUAUGGACUGGACUACUGAUGGGUGAAAGGAUCUGACUUCCCAACACUCGGUAGUUGAUUAUGUGAUGAACACACAAUAGGUGUGGAUAUGUUGGGUGCCCCAAGUUUGAUCUCUUGCUGAUACGUCGUAUCUUUGCCCCUAAGGCGAUCUCGCCUUCUCCUUCUGAGAUGUCUAGCCACCCUAUAACUGAGCAUAGCGACGUGAUCAACGCAUGAUGAUUAUGCUUGUGGCGUGUCAUAAGGAUUCUUGUCAAUAUAUGAUGUUGUAAUGGCAUGAAAUUUCGACGUUCUUGUUUCGAAUUCAAGCAGUCACUAAUGUCUUGACGCAAUCUGCUUGACUGACUUGAAGAUAUGAAGGGAAUUUGCCCCUUGCAACUUGUCUUGCCCCAGUCUGUAGGGUGUUCAGAGGAAUUCUCCUUAAAAGGAAACCUUCAGGAGUGAUUAACCCAUGACAUCGUCUGAGUUUUUUUUUUCAGUGUCUAAAUCUGGCCAUGGUCUUCCCGUGAUUAGCCUUUGAGGGACUCGCCUCAGACGAACUGAGUAUUGAAGUGUUUUUCCUCCCUGAUCAACCGAUGCUUGAAGAUUUGUCUUAUACUGACUACUUCUUAUGUCAACAUGAUCAGAAGAUGCCAUGCCCCUGAUUCAUAGGAUUAUGAGAUGAUUUUGAUUCGUGUCAGCACCAACAAUCAAGUGCCUCUUGAAUUGCCCCUUGUUGGAAUUUCCUUGAUGUCAAGUAUUGUCUUGCAAUUAAGCAUUAUUCAUUCAAUAACUGGUGAUUUUAAUGCAAUAGUUAUACAAGUUUUGAAAAAACAAUCAUUCAUUUUGGGUGGGGUGGUAGUGUGUGGCGAGUGGAUCAUAAGUCCAAUCGCGAUGUUUUAUUUUGCUAGCGUGUGAGUGUUGUAGUGAGAAUAGAAUAUUAGCAAAUCUCUAGGAGUCAGUUUAUGCAACCUUGUCGUAGUAUGCUUUCGGAAUAAACCUUACUUCAAUUAGGUCUUUUGAAGGUUGUAACGUGGCUUGGUUCAUGGUUAUUGAAACAAAAAGAUAUAAGGCUCAAAGUUUAUUUUAACCCACCCCUUCUUCAUGAUGAUCUCCAAUCCUACGUUCAGUUAAAACAACACACACUUACUUUUGCAAGAGUUCAGCAAUGUAAGAUCCAUUGAAAUGACAGUCAUCCUAUUUUGCUCUUCAUGGCUAUUGACCCUUUGAUUUGGGUACGGUGGUCACCGAAUCUUGUUUUGUUUUAUUGAGGACUUUUACUGUCUCUCUUGAUUUUUUCUUUUGAUCCCUAACUUUUGCAUGGACCGCUUGUUGAAGCUUUAAUCCAUCGGAAUUGCCCCAGUUUUUUCCUAAGUCUCUUUUUAGGGUGUUGGACUUAGCGGGCUCUUUCUUUGAUUAUUUGGAAAUUGUGACUGCCAAGUCAUUGGUCAUUGAAGAACAACCGACAUAAAAUUUGGAUUUGUAUGGUUUUUUCGACACUUCAGGAUGUGUGUGAAGACUAUCAUAUGAUUGAUCCUUGUAUGGGAUAUCUCAUCUUGUAAUUCGAAUGUGUAGUCAUAUUAACUAAACACUACCCUGCCCCAGGUUAAGCGUAAGGGUUUGUAGACCCGAAAGAAACUCCUACUUCUAUGCUCAAAGUGGUUGACUAGGGAUUAACUCCUUAUCUCUCCAGUGUUUUGGGAUUUGAAACAAUGCUUGUACAUCAUUAGCAGGAUUUUAUCCGAAAGCAUACAGUCGGCAAUUAUGAGUAUUUUGUUUUCGUCAUCCUCCUUCCAACAUUUACUAACAAUAGUGUGAUAAAGAAGGUGAAGUGGAAAAGUAUGUGUUUGUGAUUUGCAAAUGUGAUAGACAAGUGAAUAUGAAAGAUCGAUUCAAAGCAUGCAUAAUCAUCCCAUUAAUAAGACCAAAUACAAAUAACAAUGUUUAAAGUAUACAGUACUUAAACAAGCAAGAACAAAUUACAAGAAUAUGAAACAGUAAAAAUGGCAUAAUGAUCGCCUUUAUUCGAAUAAAUGGGACUUCAUCUCUUGAUUCUUUGUUGGGAUUGCUCUGCUUGUUCAGGCUGGUGGGAAUCUUUAUCUUCGAGCUUCAUUAUGCUCCGCAUGCGCCGGCAUGGGGUUUGUUGCAACGUUUGGCCUAACUGGCGUGAAAGUAACUGCCUUAAUGUCAAGUAGGUCCCGGACCUUGUGCUUGAAGGCCUUACAAUUCUCCACUAUGUGCCCUGGGGCACCCAUGUGAUACUCGCGGUGAGCAUUAGCGUCGUAGCUUGGUGGAUAAGGUGGAGUUGCAGGUGUUAGAUCCUUCAAAACAAUUGAUCCAUCCUUUAGCAGGUAGGGGAGGAUCUUGCUGUCCGGUAUUGGCAAAGGAUCAAAAUGUCUUUCUGGCCUCCUUUCCCUCUACUGGUUAGGUUGACAUUAUUGUGGAGCACGUUGUUGUUGAUUCUGAUGUGGCUGCUGAUAAGCUGGUUGUUGAUAAGGCUAUUGAUAUUGUUGUUGAUAUGGUUGUUGAUAUGAUGUUGGAAUGACAGCGGCAACCUGAUGAUAAGGCAUAGGAGCAUACAGAGGCGCCCUAUGUCCUCCUCCUCUCAUUAUGGCGUUGGUAUGCCCUUCUGGCUUCAUUGGGAGUUUUGGAUAGGGUUUCUUCAUCCCACCUGAAGCAUUGGCAGCGCAAGGUAGCUUUCCCUUCUUGAUCUGGCUCUCGAUUCGUUAUCCCACGGAGACAACCUCAGCAAAAGUUGGGAAAUUGGAUCCUACCAUUUUCUCCAUGUAUUGGGUAUGCAGAGUUCCCAUAAACAUGUCAAUCAGCUCCUUGUCAAGGAGGGGAGGUUGGACACGAGCUGCUAGCUCUCUCCAACGCUGGGCGUAUUCCUUGAAUGACUCAUUGCUACGCUGAUUCAUGUCUUGCAGUUGUGUGCGAUUAUGCGCUAGAUCAGUGUUGUAUUGAUAAUGCCUAAGGAAGGCUUCAGCGAGAUCUCUCCAUGAUUGGACCUGUCCUCUCUCCAACUGCAUGUACCAUUCCAAAGAUGCCCCACUGAGACUAUCUUGGAAGUAAUGAAUCAGGAGUUGAUCAUUACUGAUGUGGGCAUCCAUCUUGCAACAAUAAGCUCUGAGAUGAGUUCUAGGGCAGCUAAUCCCUUUGUACUUGUCAAAGUCUGGGACUUUGAAUUUCUGCGGAAUCACGAGGCCUGGUACCAAGCACAUGUCAACAGCGUCCAAACCGGGAGUAGUGUAAACCUCCAAGGACUUGAAUUUCUCUUCCAGAGCAUGGAGUCUCUCAACAGCUAGGUCUGGGAGACCUCCAACAGCAGGUUUGACGGGUUGUGGCAUGAAGAAAGCGUCAUACGGAUCUUCAUCACCCAUCACGGAUCCAUGUUGAGCAGAUGUAGCAGAAUGCUCAUGUGGGUUCACGUUAACCAGGGGAACAGGAAUGAGGAUGGGUCCUCCUCUAGGAUGGGCAGGAUUACCAUCAAGGUCAGUCACUCCGGGGAUGCUAAGUGAUGGCGAUCCAAACUGAGCAGCAACUUUCCUGGCUUCGGCGAUAGUCUCAGCAUCCUUCUCCUUCUGGGCUAAGAGCAACAUAGUUUCAAGCAAACAGUCCAUCUUCGCUUGCAUGGAGUCAAUGUCGGUCCUCAUCGAAACUUAGUUUACUUCAAGUUGUUCGAGUGUCAUCUUGUAGUUGCGGCGUGUCUCGUACCGGUGUCGAGUAGCCAGUGUUACUGGACAAAGGGUAGAAUAUGGUGUAAGUCUUUAUUUUUGGAAGAUGAUAUGCAAUGCAUGUUUAUGUUAUGCAAAUGCAUGAAAUUUUUCCAUGUUUUUCACAAAGGGAUACCAAUAUUCAAGAUCAAUCACGCGUCGUGUACAUCAGGAUAGUAGGAGGAAAUAAAGGUUUCUCUGAUUACUGAAAUUCCCAAGGGUAGGUUCUAAGGUUAAUAGGUUCCCAAAGUCAUCAAUUCUCCUUGAGAGCGUCACUGUCGUGAUGAAGACUUGUCGGACAGUAAUACCCCUAAGACAAUCUCAUCUUAGGCGAGGUCUUCGUAUUGUCCCAACAAGGAAGACUCCAUGGGGAUUCUACUACGCGACUCUCGAGUCCAAGGUUCUAACAAGGUUCUCAGAGUCAUAGAUCGAGGUUGGAAAUAUUACUGCAAGAUAAUAAUACGUCAAAGGGAUCUCAUCUGAUUGGGGUUUUUGUAUUAACCCAACAAGUAUUAAACUUCAUAGGUUAAUACUACAUAACCGCCGGAUAUAAUGGGUUAAAAGGUCCCUAGAGUCAUUGAUCCAACUUGAAACACCAUCGCCGUGACGAAGGCUCGUCGGACAAUAAUAUCUCAAGAGAAUCUCCUCUAGGCGGGGUCUUCGUAUCUUCCCAACAAGGAAGACUCCUUGUGGGCGUCCACUACGCAACCACUAACUUAAUCUUAUGGUUUUUAUCAGACUCGGGUAGAGAGCCUAUCUCACCAAGUACCAACAAUCAGAGAAGCCCAAUAGUAUCAUAAGAAAUAAACUACAACAGUAAUUACAACAGAAUAAUAACAGAAUAAAAAUCAAACAAACAAGGUUAACACCCAAUACAUAAAUUAAACUAAGCUAGGCUUCACUCUCUCUUGAUUGGAGCAUGGGUCCCCAGCAGAGUCGCCAGUCUGUCGCACCUCGAAAAAUGAUAAUAUGAUCCCUCGUGAUAAGACGCGGAAAAAUGUUAGUUCGAACAGAAUCGCCACCGAACUUUAUUCAUUCCAAUGAAGGAAUAGGAAAAUAUCGAUAAAACCUUUAGGAAAAUAAAAUAAUGGUCGUCGCAACCAUAUUCGGGUUCGGGAGUGGAUUACGCAAGGGGAAGGUAUUAGCACCCCUCACGUCCGUUGUACUCAACGGGAACCUUUUAGUUCAAUUAUGUGAUUUGAGUGUUAGCUGAAUGUUGUUUGUUUUAUUCGAGUAAUUAAAAUUGGUAAUAGAUAUGGAUGAAGACCUCAGGAGGGGGAAAAGGAGGUUUUUUAUUAGUGUGCUCGCGAAGAUACAACAAUCUCCUGCCUACGUAUCCUUAUGGUGCAAUAAGGAAAUCAGAGCAUUCGUAGUUCAGGUACUACGAAUAAUUGGUGUGUUUUGUUUGACGAACGACUAUGUAGGUCGGCGUUCUAAAGGCUAAACUUUGGCUUGUCUACUCUCGGUGGAGGAUCUAGCACUAGUUUGUUGUGUGCAUUAGAAAGGAUUAACAGUGUUCUUUUUGCAAUAAGGGUUUUAGUCACACAGGGUGACAAGUUGAAUCGAUGUGUUUGAUGUUUUGAUUGGUUUCGAUCGCAUGAGGGCGAGAAAAGAGAUAUGUUUGAUGUGUUGAGAUGUUUGUGGUUGGAUGACGAUUACUCGGAGAGUCGAGUAAGACAACUCGUAUCCUAAUAAUCGGGAAAGGGAAUAGAAGAUUCUAGACCGCUUUCUUUUUCAUCCUUAAUUGUAAAAAGGAUUUAAUAAUGAUUAAGGUGUUUUGAAUGGAUGACGAAUACUCGGAUAACCGAAUAAGACAACUCGUAUCCUAAUAAUCGGGAAAGGGAAUAAAAGACUCUAGACCGCUUUCUGUUUCAUCUAAGUAAUUAUGAAAAUAAGGUUGUGUAUGGUUGAUGUAUUUUAGAAUAAACGACAAGUGCUCGAAUGGCUGAGUAAGACAACUCAUAUCCAAGCAUUUGAGGAGAGGAAUCGAAGGCUCAAGACCAUCUCCCUUUUCGUACAGUUUGUUAUAAAAAUGAUUUGAUUAGGUUAUGAGUUGGCGGAAGAACGACAAUUGUUCGAAUGACCGAGUAAGAGAACUCAUAUUCAAACAAUUGAGGAGAGAAGUUGAAAACUCAAAGUCAUCUCCUUCUUCAUUUUGUUUAUUUAUAAAAGUGUUUUGAUUUAAUCGGGGUUUGGAAGUUUGUAGAGGAACGACAAUUAUUUGACUAACCAAGUAAGAGAACUUGUAUUCAAAUAAUCGAGGAGAAAAAUUGAAGACUCAAAGUCAUCUCCCUUAAUUAUUUGACUAACCAAGUAAGAGAACUUGUAUUCAAAUAAUCGAGGAGAAAAAUUGAAGACUCAAAGUCAUCUCCCUUUUCGUUUCUUAUUAUAAAAUGAUUCGAUUUGUUUGUGCUUAGGUGGAUGGAAGUGAUGACUAUUUGACUAACCAAGUAAGAGAACUCGUAUUCAAAUAAUCGAGGAGAGGAAUUGAAAACUCAAAGUCAUCCCCCGUUUCAUUUCCAAAUGAAAUGGUAUUUGAUUGUGAUUGGGUAUUUUAAUUUGAUUUGGAUAAAAUACUCGACAUUGGAUCGAGGUUUUGAAUUUGUGUUUAUGAAUGAAAUGAAUUUUAUUUUAGUGUAUUAUUCAUCUACUCGAUUAAAUAAAAUCGAAUAGGUCUCAUUAUAAGAAAGCCCAAGAGUAAGCUAUGUGAGGUUGAUGGCGAUGCUUAAAAGCGAAUAUGUGACAAUGUUGAUUUACUUAAUUGAAUCGGUGUGCUCAAACCGGUUUGUGCGAGAUAACAAUGAUUAAUGUUAUUUGCAAAAUCCGAACGCGGUGAGAAAAACACUUUAUUAAUAUAUUGAUAUUUUUGCGACGUGUCGACAUGAAAUUGUCGAAUUCGCGAUUUAUAAUCCAACUUCACAAUGGGGUACAUUACCACAUCAAAAUCAUUACAUUUUUUACAAGUUGUUCCCACACCUUGGCUAAUUCAAUCUUAAUUAGGAUGAAUUAAAAUUCAACAAAAAGAUAAAUUGAUGGAUUCCCUAUUCAUGUUAUAAACCAGUUAACAGUAUUCUUUAUUUGAAUCUUGGCCAGGUUGCAGUAUGAUCCCAGUAUUUUGACCCAAGUAUUAAAACCAAAGCUUUUGAACACAUAUAUUUAAAAAACCACAGCAGGAACACCACAGUUGCUACCCUCCAUAUUUGUCAUGAAUAAACAUUUCAGCAAAAUAAAAUGUGUUCGAACCAAAAUUUAUAAUCGCACUGGCCAGAAAUUUUCGGCGAUCUUGCAACAUAAAUCACACACGCAUUGAACGCUUCGAAACAUCACACUCGAAAAAUAUACCAGCAAAUGCAACACAAUCAAAUUGAACUUGAACGGUAACGGAAAUAAAAUAGCAAAUGUGUAAAUGAAAUCGAAACGGUAACCGAAAUAGAACGGUAAAUAAAACUGGAAUAAAAUUUAUUUUUUGAGUCGUUACCCUAUCCAACAGAUGUCGGCAAUCUAGCGAGCUUGUUGGAAAUAUUUGAAGUAGCUGCGGUUGAAUCGUGGAGGUGUAGAGGUGAAGCUCGUAGAGGAAAUGUGGACAGUUGUUUCCCUGGCGAUAUGCGACGGUUGCGCAGAAGGGAUUACCACGGCGGCGAUUGUAGAGGUGGUGGUUGGAAGUCGGAGUUUGUGGUGGUAGUUUGUGAGUGGUGGUCGUGAAGAACAACGAGGUGGUCGGAUUGGAAAGCGAAGGGCGAAAGUGGAUGUUUGAUGGCGGAAAGGGUUGUGUUGAGGAAGAAGAAUAUAUGGUUUGGAUUUGUGGUGUUUAGUUGCGGAUCCAUGGUGGCCGGAGGUGAAUUGUUGAAUCACCGGUGAGGUUGUGAUGGUAGUGGUGUGAUGUCGGCGAUAGAGAGACGUAGGAUGAGAGUGGUUGUUCGUGACGGCGAACGGCGGAGGAUAUGGGGGUGGUUUGGGUUUUCGGUGAGUUUCGAAGGUUGAGAGGUGACGGAGAAUUUGAAGGGUUUGGCGGAGGAAGGUGGUGAAAAGUAUGUGGGUCGCGUGGUGGAGCGGCUCGAAGAAGAAGAAGCUUCUUCUCGAUUUCUUUUCUUUUUUCGUUUUUUU
rnacentral:lncRNA from 1 species